rnacentral:rRNA from 1 species
UACGGGGGGUGCGAGCGUUGUCCGGAAUCACUGGGCGUAAAGGGCGCGUAGGUGGUUUGAUAAGGGUGUGGUGAAAGUCCGGAGCUCAACUCCGGAUCUGCCGUGCCGACUGUCAAACUCGAGGGCUGUAGAGGCAGACGGAAUUCCGGGUGUAGCGGUGGAAUGCGUAGAGAUCCGGAGGAAGACCGGCGGCGAAGGCGGCUCACUGGCCCGGUACUGACGCUGAGGCACGAAAGCGUGGGGAGCAAACAGG